CCCUUAGAUGUUCUGGGCGGCCCGCGCACUACAAUGGCGUGUGCAGCGAGUGCCGAAGUAGAGUUUUCCGAGGUAUUCUUGCAAUGCUCGUUUUGAUGGGGAUAGACCCUUGCAACUGUUGGUUUUGAACGAGGAAUUCCUUGUAAGCAUGGUUUAUCAUCCGACGCUGAAUGCGUCCCUGCCCUUUGUACACACCGCCCGCCGCUCCUACCGAUGAGUCGUCCGGUGAAGUUCGUAGACCUCGUGAUCGCGGAUCACUGGGGGAAGCAAAAUGAACCUCGCGGUUUAGAGGAAGGAGAAGUCGUAACA
rnacentral:rRNA from 1 species